AAUCAACGCUGGCGGCGUGCCUCAGACAUGCAAGUCGAACGCUGCUGUUCGCCUUCGGGUGGACAGCGGAGUGGCGCACGGGUGAGUAACACGUAGGUAAUCUACCUUUGGGUGGGGAAUAACAGCCGGAAACGGCUGCUAAUACCGCGUAAUGCAGCGGCAUCACAUGAUGACAGUUGUUAAAGCGAGGGAUCGUAAGACCUCGCGCCUGAAGAGGAGCCUGCGGCAGAUUAGGUAGUUGGUGAGGUAAUGGCUCACCAAGCCUGCGAUCUGUAACCGGCCUGAGAGGGCGGUCGGUCACACUGACACUGACAUACGGGUCAGACUCCUACGGGAGGCAGCAGUCGGG
rnacentral:rRNA from 1 species